GCCCGCUUGGCUCAGUGGUAGAGCGUGUCACUAGUACUUCCAGAGAAUCCCUACAAUACUGCAUUGAAGGGUGUGGAUGUCACAUGACAAGGUCAUCAGUUCGACUCUGAUAGUGGGCA